rnacentral:lncRNA from 1 species
GCUUUCCUGAAGAUAAUGUCCACUUCAGGGUAAUGACUCUCAUUCACUGCAUCUACCGCCAUCACCGAUCGAGCGUAUCUCCUUCUUUGUGAAGCUGUGCAUCCCCCACCAGAGAAGCCUCCCGCGAUCGUCUGCACUUCCCCAUGCACAGGGACUUCAUGCUGCUGUUCUCCAGUCUGGGAUCCUGACGCGCGAUCACCCUGCGGCUCACGCAGGUAAUCUGCUAGAAAACCAGACUUCACCAACUCUGCCAGUUGGUGUCCCAGCG